CUUUAAUGUGCCAUAUGAAUGGAUAAGGAUGAUUGGUUGGCCAUUCAAAUUCAAAAUAAAGUUUGAAUUUGAAAGGGCAAUCAAUCUUUGCGCCUUAUCCCUUUUUUUUACGCCCCAUUUAUUACAUGAGAAAAAGUUUCUCAUGAAAUCACUCCAUUCAUAAUUUAAGCCAUGCCUCACACCUUUAGUGGAUAAGGGAUGAUUUGGUAUCCAUUUGAAUUCAAAAUUUGAUUUGAAUUCAAAUGUGCAAUUACUCAUCUUUAUCCUUUCUUUUAGAUAAGACGUUUGACGUUGUUAUAAAAGGAGGAGAAGAGUGGGGCGUGUAAGAAGAAGAUUUUUGGAGAAAAAUUCUAGGGUG
rnacentral:lncRNA from 1 species